rnacentral:rRNA from 1 species
CUCAGAUUGAACGCUGGCGGCAGGCCUAACACAUGCAAGUCGAGCGGAUGAGAGGAGCUUGCUCCUCGAUUCAGCGGCGGACGGGUGAGUAAUGCCUAGGAAUCUGCCUAGUAGUGGGGGACAACGUUUCGAAAGGAACGCUAAUACCGCAUACGUCCUACGGGAGAAAGUGGGGGAUCUUCGGACCUCACGCUAUUAGAUGAGCCUAGGUCGGAUUAGCUAGUUGGUAGGGUAAAGGCCUACCAAGGCGACGAUCCGUAACUGGUCUGAGAGGAUGAUCAGUCACACUGGAACUGAGACACGGUCCAGACUCCUACGGGAGGCAGCAGUGGGGAAUAUUGGACAAUGGGCGAAAGCCUGAUCCAGCCAUGCCGCGUGUGUGAAGAAGGCCCUCGGGUCGUAAAGCACUUUAAGUUGGGAGGAAGGGCUUACAGCGAAUACCUGUGAGUUUUGACGUUACCGACAGAAUAAGCACCGGCUAACUUCGUGCCAGCAGCCGCGGUAAUACGAAGGGUGCAAGCGUUAAUCGGAAUUACUGGGCGUAAAGCGCGCGUAGGUGGCUUGAUAAGUUGGAUGUGAAAUCCCCGGGCUCAACCUGGGAACUGCAUCCAAAACUGUCUGGCUAGAGUGCGGUAGAGGGUAGUGGAAUUUCCAGUGUAGCGGUGAAAUGCGUAGAUAUUGGAAGGAACACCAGUGGCGAAGGCGACUACCUGGACUGACACUGAC